GAUGAAGAACGUAGCGAAAUGCGAUACGUAAUGUGAAUUGCAGAAUUCAGUGAAUCAUCGAGUCUUUGAACGCACAUUGCGCCCCCUGGUAUUCCGGGGGGCAUGCCUGUCCGAGCGUCAUUGCUGCCCUCAAGCACGGCUUGUGUGUUGGGCCCCCGCCCCCGCGCGCGGACUCGCCCCAAAUCCAUUGGCGGCGGCCCUUGCCUCCCUCUCGCGCAGCACAUUGCGCUUCUCGAGGCGUCGCGGGCCGCGCUCCACGAAGCACGCAAACCAGUCUUUGACCUCGGAUCAGGUAGGGAUACCCGCUGAACUUAAGCAUAUCAAUAAGCGGAGGA
rnacentral:misc_RNA from 1 species